UACGUAGGGUGCGAGCGUUGUCCGGAAUUAUUGGGCGUAAAGGGCUCGUAGGCGGUUUGUCGCGUCGGGAGUGAAAACACUGGGCUUAACUCAGUGCUGGCUUCCGAUACGGGCAGACUAGAGGUAUGCAGGGGAGAACGGAAUUCCUGGUGUAGCGGUGAAAUGCGCAGAUAUCAGGAGGAACACCGGUGGCGAAGGCGAUCACCUGGGGUUGUUCUGACGCUGAGGAGCGAAAGCUAGGGGAGCAAACGGG
rnacentral:rRNA from 1 species